rnacentral:rRNA from 1 species
GACGAACGCUGGCGGCGUGCUUAACACAUGCAAGUCGAACGGCAAGGCCCUGCUGUUGUGGGGUGCUCGAGUGGCGAACGGGUCAUUCACACUUGAUUGACCUGCCCUUGACUUUGGGGUACCUUCAGGAAACAAGGGCUAAUACCGGAUAGGAUAUCCUCCUGCAUUGUGGGGGCUGGAGAUUUUCGGCGGUUGGGGAUGGACUCGCGGCGUAUCAGCUUGUAGGUGGGGUAGUGGCUUAGCAAGGCGUCGACGGGUAGCCGGCCUGAGAGGGGGACCGGACACAGUGGAACGGAGAUGCGGCACAGACCACUACGGGAGGGAGCAGUGGGGUAGAGUGUACAAUGGGCGGAAGGCUGAUGCAGCCACGCCGUGUGCGGGAUGAGGGCCUGCGGUUUGUAUACUGAUUCUGCCUGGGACGAAGAGUGAGUGACGGUAAUGGGUAAAGAAGCACCGGCUAACUACGUG